rnacentral:rRNA from 1 species
UACAGAGGGUGCAAGCGUUGUCCGGAAUCACUGGGCGUAAAGGGCGCGUAGGCGGCUUGGUAAGCGUGCGGUGAAAGCCCGGGGCUCAACCCCGGGUCGGCCGUGCGAACUGCGGAGCUGGAGCACUGUAGAGGCAGGUGGAAUUCCGGGUGUAGCGGUGGAAUGCGUAGAGAUCCGGAAGAACACCGGUGGCGAAGGCGGCCUGCUGGGCAGUGGCUGACGCUGAGGCGCGACAGCGUGGGGAGCAAACAGG